AGUGUAGGUGGUUGUCAUAGUCAGGUGUGAAAGCCUUGAGCUCAACUCAAGAAAUGCACUUGAUACUGGGCGACUAGAGGACCGGAGAGGAUAGUGGAAUUCCCAGUGUAGUGGUGAAAUACGUAGAGAUUGGGAAGAACACCAGUGGCGAAGGCGGCUAUCUGGACGGUUACUGACACUAAGACUCGAAAGCGUGGGAGCAAACA
rnacentral:rRNA from 1 species